rnacentral:rRNA from 1 species
UACGUAGGUGGCAAGCGUUGUCCGGAUUUACUGGGCGUAAAGAGCGCGCAGGCGGUCGUUCAAGUCGCGUGUGAAAGCCCCCGGCUCAACUGGGGAGGGUCACGCGAUACUGAUCGACUCGAAGGCAGGAGAGGGAAGUGGAAUUUCCGGUGUAGUGGUGAAAUGCGUAGAUAUCGGGAGGAACACCAGUGGCGAAGGCGACUUCCUGGCCUGUUCUUGACGCUGAGGCGCGAAAGCUAGGGGAGCAAACGGG